rfam:Candidate division WWE3 bacterium RIFOXYD1_FTLL_39_9 rifoxyd1_full_scaffold_329, whole genome shotgun sequence.
GGGCCGUUAGCUUAGUUGGUAGAGCGCUUCCAUGGCAUGGAAGAGGUCAGCGGUUCGACUCCGCUACGGUCCA